AGAUAGCAGAGCUCAGUGAAUUACAGAAGUGAUGAGGAGAAGAUGUAAAUACAGCAGAUACAAAGACCCGUCCUUCUUACCAAACCAGAAUGUUUAUGCAUGAUGAGAAGUGGAAAUUGACAAGAAUGUAACAACUCCUGGGAAAACGUGUCCAUUCUUCAGGGCCCUGGUGUUUG
rnacentral:lncRNA from 1 species